GUAGGUGAACCUGCGGAAGGAUCAUUAGUGAAUUAUAGGGCGUCUACUUGUAGAGCCUGACCUCCACUUCUAACACUGUGCACUUGAUGGCGAGGUAAUUGAGAUCAGGCUUUCGGGCUUGUGAACAAGAACCUUGCGGCUUCAUUUUAAACAUUAGUCAAAGUAUGUAAUAAAAUUUAAAACAAAAAAAAACUUUCAACAACGGAUCUCUUGGCUCUC
rnacentral:misc_RNA from 1 species